rnacentral:rRNA from 1 species
UACGGAAGGGGCGAGCGUUGUUCGGAAUCACUGGGCGUAAAGCGCGCGUAGGCGGCUUUGCAAGUGCGGCGUGAAAGUCCUGGGCUCAACCUGGGGACGGCGCUGCGGACUGCAUGGCUGGAGUCCGGAAGAGGGUGGUGGAAUUCCGAGUGUAGAGGUGAAAUUCGUAGAUAUUCGGAAGAACACCAGUGGCGAAGGCGGCUCACUGGACUGGUAUUGACGCUGAGGUGCGAAAGCGUGGGGAGCAAACAGG